rnacentral:piRNA from 1 species
UAGAUGGGAUAAUCAUCACGCCUUCCUUAU